AACUUUUAGCAACGGAUCACUUGGCUCUCGCAUCGAUGAAGAACGCAGCGAAAUGCGAUAAGUAAUGUGAAUUGCAGAUUUUCAGUGAAUAAUCGAAUCUUUGACCGCACCUUGCGCCCCUUGGUAUUCCGAGGGGAAUGCCUGUUUGGGUGUAAUUAAAUUCUCAACUCAGAUUUGAUUUGUUUCUAAUCGUAGCUUGGACUUGGAGCGUGCUGGCGUCGACUCGGCUCCUCUCAAAUGCAUCAGCGGAAUCUAACCUUUGGUUUCCCGACGUCGGUUUGAUAAGUCAGUUGCGCCGGCUUUCGACUUCAAAGUCCGUUCAUAACGGUCUCCGGUCCAGCGCUUUUAUCAAAUUUGACCUCAAAUCAGGUAGGACUACCCGCUGAACUUAAGCAUAUCAAUAAGCGGAGGCU
rnacentral:misc_RNA from 1 species